rnacentral:rRNA from 1 species
GCAGCCAUUUUUGGAUGCAUGUGCUUGCCCUAACAAUCAUCUUCCAAACACCUGUGCACAUUUUUGAGGGAGUCUUGAGUUGGUUGCCGCUCUUGGGUGAUUUUCUUACAUUCCCUUAAAUCAUUAUACGCUAUUAACAAUGUUGAACGUGCUCUGUGCCGCAAGGCCAUUAAUAUAAUACAACUUUUAACAACGGAUCUCUUGGCUCUCGCAUCGAUGAAGAACGCAGCGAAAUGCGAUAAGUAAUGUGAAUUGCAGAAUUCAGUGAAUCAUCGAAUCUUUGAACGCACCUUGCGCUCCCUGGUAUUCCGGGGAGCACACCUGUUCGAGUGUCGCGAAAUUUCUCAAGUUUGGAUGGAUUUUUUUUUGUCCGUCCUUAGCCUUGGUUGUUGGGCUUUGCCGUGUCCUUCAUUGGUACGGCUGGCCUUAAAAGCAUCAGCUGAUCCUCGUGUGGCACUGGUUCUACUCAGCGUGAUAACAGUCUGAUCGCUGAGGACAUCUUUUGGGAUGGCCAGCUCUCAUUUGGGUU